UUAAGCAUAUCAGUAAGCAGAGGAAAAGAAAACAACUGUGAUUCCCUUAGUAACUGCGAGUGAAGCGGGAAAAGCCCAUCGUUUAAUCUUCCCGGACUGUGGACGGGACGAAAUGUAACGGUAUGGAUAGGUUCUCUACCAACAAGGUCUGAUCAAAGUCCUCCGGAUUGAGGUGCCAAAGAGGGUGACAGCCCCGUGUGUGAUUGGACUGAGUUGGGUAUGUGGCCGAUUCCGAGAGUCGGGUUGUUUGGGACUGCAACCUAAAGCAGGUGGUAAACUCCACCCAAGGCUAAAUAUUGACACGAAACCGAUAGCGAACAAGUACUGUGAAGGAAAGUUGAAAAGAACUCUGAAAAGAGAGUUAAAAGUACGUGAAACCGCUAACGGGGAAGCGGAAGGCAGUGUCGAGAUCGAGUGAGUGAGUCAAUUUAAGCGUUUGCAUAAAGUGGGCGUUUGAUUUGGCUAGCUUUGCUUGAUGCGUCAGGGCUAUUGGUGUGCGACGGCUCAAUCUUCAGCAUGGCUUUCACGGCGAAUAAUUUAUUAGGGUUCGUGGAUGCGGCUGGGGAUCCGCCUCGUGUGCUGAUAGGUGUUAUUGAAGCGUUGGUGAUGUAUUGUCGGUUGGUGCGGUGUGGUGGUUCGUUCUGGUCACAGUGUGGCUACGUGCGGACAAGUCAUGUGGUAGUUCAACAACCAAUGCUAGUUCCUGGCGUGAUACCUAACCUUCCGACCCGUCUUGAAACACGGACCAAGGAGGCAGAAUCUAGAGCGAGUUGGAGGGUGGAAAACCCGACGGCGUAGUGAAAGCGAGAGAUGAGAGCUGGGGGCCUCGGCUCUCAGUGCAUCAUCGGCCAGUCACUGUAGAGUGAUUGAGUUUGAGCUGUAGAUGCUGGACCCGAAAGAUGGUGAACUAUGCGUGAGCAGGGCGAAGCCAGAGGAAACUCUGGUGGAGGCUCGAAGCGAUUCUGACGUGCAAAUCGAUCGUUAGACUUGCGUAUAGGGGCGAUAGACUAAUCGAACCAUCUAGUAGCUGGUUCCCUUCGAAAUAUCCCUCAGGAUCGCUGAGACAAGUGGGAGACAGUUUCAUCGGGUAGAGCGAAUGAUUAGAGGAAUCGGGGAUAUGUUACUCUCGACCUAUUCUCAAACUUCCAACCGGUGAGGGUGCCGUUUGCUUGGGUGAAAUGGCACGUGGAAUGUCUUUGUCUCAAGUGGGCCAUUUUUGGUAAGCAGAACUGGCGAUGCGGGAUGAACCGAGAGUUGAGCUAAGGUGCCUAAGGACACGUUGAUAGAUACCACAAAAGGAGUCGGUCGAUAAAGACAGCAGGGCGGUGGCCCUGAAAGUAGGAAUCCGCUAAGGAAUUGUCUAAAAACUCACCUGCCGAAUCGACCGGCCCUGAAAAUGGAUGGCGCUGAAGCGUGUCACCGAUGCUCGACCUUUACCACGAGAAAUGAUGGUAGGGGGUAGAAGGGCGCGGCGGUUGCGACAAAGUACAAAGUGUAAACUUGUAUGGAGCGGCCGUCGGUGUAGAUCUUGGUGGUAGUAGCAAUUAUAAAAGUGAAAACCUUUUAGGCCGAAGUGGAGAAGGGUUCCACGUGAACAGCAGUUGGACGUGGGUUAGUCGGUCCUAAGCGGUUGCCUAACGGUAAUUCCAAAGCCAACUUGAGAUUGUUUUUAAUGAUUUUAUGUUGGAAUCCGCGAAAGGGAAUCAGGUUAAUAUUCCUGAACCGGGCAAUGGAGACGCUGCCUUUUGGUUUGCUGAGCGGUCUUUGAAUGUUGCAGUUAGUAUAUGAUUGUAAUGUUUGGAGUAGCUGUUUGGUGAGUCUGGGGUAGCUUAGCGGUAACGCAAACAAUCUCGGAGACGUUGACAUCUAUGGCGGGGAGAAUUAUCUUUUCUGCAUAACAGGUAAACCACCUUGGAAUCGAGUCGUUCGGAGAUAAGGUAGAAAGCCUGGAAGAGCACCGCAACUAUUGCAGUGUCCGCAGUGUAGGUGUCGGCCCUUGAAAAUCCGAGGGAGUGGAUAAAUUUCAUGCCCGUCCGUACCGAAUCCGCAUCAGGU
rnacentral:rRNA from 1 species